rnacentral:rRNA from 1 species
UACGGGGGGAGCAAGCGUUGUUCGGAUUUACUGGGCGUAAAGGGCGCGUAGGCGGUCGUGACAAGUCACUUGUGAAAUCUCCGGGCUUAACUCGGAACGGUCAAGUGAUACUGUCGGACUAGAGUACAGAAGGGCAACUGGAAUUCUCGGUGUAGCGGUGAAAUGCGUAGAUAUCGAGAGGAACACCUGCGGCGAAGGCGGGUUGCUGGGCUGACACGUGACGCUGAGGCGCGAAGCCAGGGAGCGAACGGG